rnacentral:lncRNA from 1 species
UGUUGAAUACUAAUGUUAUUUAUGGUAUUGCAAAUGAUUGUUGGUAAUGAUGUGCAUUGUAUGGUUAUUGUUGGUUGGAUCUUUGCAGUCGUUGUUUUGGUUACCAUAAGCUAUAGUGAGGGGGGAUUAAGACAUCAUAUCAUAUACACAGCCAAGUGUGAAAAGUUCAUGUCCCUAUAUUAUUUAUAUGUUGUUAUAUGUGUAGGAUAUUUCAUAUCUUAAUUUAUUUUAAAGUUAAUUUAUAUAUAUUUAUCAUUAACAUUAUUAUUUGCCGUUGUUAUUGCUUAGUCAA